GUGUCAGCCGCCGCGGUAAGACGUAGGGGGCGAGCGUUGUCCGGAUUCAUUGGGCGUAAAGCGCGCGUAGGCGGCUGCACAAGUCGGUUGUGAAAAUCCGGGGCUCAACCCCGGACGUGCAUCCGAAACUGUGUAGCUAGAGGUAGGUAGGGGAGAUCGGAAUUCCUGGUGUAGCGGUGAAAUGCGCAGAUAUCAGGAGGAACACCGGUGGCGAAGGCGGAUCUCUGGGCCUUACCUGACGCUGAGGUGCGAAAGCUAGGGGAGCGAACAGGAUUAGAUACCCUGGUAGUCCUAGCCGUAAACGUUGGACACUAGGUGUGGGCGGCAAUCAACCCCGUCCGUGCCGAAGCUAACGCAUUAAGUGUCCCGCCUGGGGAGUACGGCCGCAAGGCUAAA
rnacentral:rRNA from 1 species